AUUGAACGCUGGCGGCAUGCCUUACACAUGCAAGUCGAACGGCAGCACGGGUGCUUGCACCUGGUGGCGAGUGGCGAACGGGUGAGUAAUACAUCGGAACAUGUCCUGUCGUGGGGGAUAGCCCGGCGAAAGCCGGAUUAAUACCGCAUACGAUCUACGGAUGAAAGCGGGGGACCUUCGGCCCUCGCGCUAUCGGGUUGGCCGAUGGCUGAUUAGCUAGUUGGUGGGGUAAAGGCCUACCAAGGCGACGAUCAGUAGCUGGUCUGAGAGGACGACCAGCCACACUGGGACUGAGACACGGCCCAGACUCCUACGGGAGGCAGCAGUGGGGAAUUUUGGACAAUGGGCGAAAGCCUGAUCCAGCAAUGCCGCGUGUGUGAAGAAGGCCUUCGGGUUGUAAAGCACUUUUGUCCGGAAAGAAAUCCUUGGCUCUAAUACAGUCGGGGGAUGACGGUACCGGAAGAAUAAGCACCGGCUAACUACGUG
rnacentral:rRNA from 1 species